GUUCCGUCCGGGACAUAGUCGAAGAUGCACACUGAAUCUGUUGUGUAGGCGAUUCUUCAGAUUUGGAGAUAAACGCGCUGUUUAAGGAUUUCCUCGAUCCAGCUGUUCUUUCGCCUCCUGGCUGUGUGGAGAGACUGAAACCUGAGCAGAAACACAAAGAAAUGGAAUGGAACGCUGUCCUGUUGCAAGUCAUACCCUGAUUCUGGUGCCAGCCUUCCUUCCUGGUUGAAAUUUCACUUCACAAAUACAAUCAGAAUAUUUCACAAAGAUAUUAAGCUUCUGAAAGAGGGGAAGAAUAUGGCAUCCAGAGAAAUCUCCAAUACUCAGCAAGUGUCCCCUCCUUCACCUUAUGAAGAAAAGCAGGAAACUCACCAGUACUCAGACAGUGGGAAGAGUUUUAAUCAAUUGAGUAGUCUCAACAUAUAUCAGUGCAUUUACACUGGAGAGAAACCAUAUUUAUGCUCAGACUGUGGAAAGAGUUUUGCUCUGAGAAGCACACUUAAAACACACCAGGUCAUUCACACUGGAGUUAAACCUUAUCUCUGCUCAGAGUGUGGUAAGAGUUUUAAUAAUCAAAGUAAUCUUAAAACACACCAGCGUAUUCACACAGGAGUAAAACCAUAUUACUGCUCAGACUGUGGGAAGAGUUUUACACUAAAGAGUACACUCACAACACACCAGCGCAUUCACACUGGAGAGAAACCAUAUCAGUGCUCAGAUUGUGGAAAGAGUUUUAAUCAACAGAAUACUCUCCAACAACACCAGCGCAUUCACAUUGGAGAGAGACCGUAUCACUGUUUAGAGUGUGGGAAGAGUUUUACAGACAGCGGUUCCCUAAAAGUUCACCAGCGCAUUCACACUGGAGAGAAACCUUUUUACUGCUCAGAGUGUGGAAAGAGUUUUAAUCAUCAAAGUAAUCUCAAAACACACCAGCGCAUUCACACUGGAGAGAAACCAUAUUACUGCUCAGACUGUGGGAGGAGCUUUAAUCAACAGAAUUCUUUCCAGCUUCACCAGCGCAUUCACACUGGAGAGAAACCGUAUCAGUGCUCAGACUGUGGAAAGUGUUUUAAUCAACAGAGUCAUCUCCAACGUCACCAAUGUAUUCACACUGGAGAGAAACCUCAUUUCUGCUUAGAGUAUGAGUAGAGCCUAAUGCAAGUAUAGAUAUUUAAAGCGGAUAUGUUAUGCAAAACUCAUUUUUGUGUGCUUUUGUAUUUACACUUGGGUCUCGACUGCCCCUACAUACACUCCAAGUGCAAAUAAAACCCAUCCGUUUUCUGUGAGUGAAAGCCCCACCCACUAGAUCAGUUGAAGAUCCACCAUUUCAGACAUGUUGGAGAACUUUGGACAGUACACAGAAGGAUUAGCCAGCUGACUGAGGAAUCUGUACCUACUGUCUGUGUAAAGUCAGCAGAUGAGAUAGAGUAAGUAUUUUCUAGGGCUGGACCCAAAUAUUUGGAUAUUUGGAUAUUCGCCCAUUGAGUAGGUAUUCGGUUAUUAAUUUUGGUAUGUGGAUUGUUUUUUUUUUUUUUCCUUUACAGACCUCCACCUCACUCUAACAUCACACUUCUGAUCUCACGGGUCCCGUCAGAAUAUCUUGCUGCACGGGACAAAACUGAAUGGUUAUUGGCAGGAGUGGGAGUUUAAUCAAUCCAGACGAUGCGGGAGCAUAUUAAUAAAUAGUGAAGAAAUUUUUAAUAAUCACGCAAUGAUUCCCAUGCAAGCAACAAAAAACCCUAAAGAAAAAUCUCAAAGCGGAGAACACCUAUCACAGACCAUUUUCUUGAGCCUUGAGCUCGACCCGGCCGAGGAAAGGGGUGGGAAAUCUCUAAUCCGUCUUUUUUU